GUGGGAGCUGGCUUGCCAGCGAUGGCGUCCUGUCAGUCGAUACAGAUGUUGGAUGUGAUGGCCCCAUCGCUGGCAAGCCAGCUCCCAC
rnacentral:antisense_RNA from 1 species